CUGUCAGACCGCAGCUGGACUGCUUCACCAAAGCUGAGUCACACUGCUCUGCUCCCAGUGACUGCUUCCAAACAAUUAAACCAGAGAGGCACCUGUGUAAAUAUGUAAUCUCUGGUGAUAAGAAAAUGAUUAGGCAGCAGAACUUGAGCUGAACUGGUGAAAAUCUUGUGCUUCCCUCUGGGGGCAUUUUACACGUGCUGUUGAGCGGUUCCCAUCUCAAGAACAAGGUCAAGUUCUUCCUCCCUCUCCUCACCUUGUUUGUUUGGAAAAUUCAGCUAAUCAGUUCUCACGAGAUUUGGUCUGCUGGCAGACAUUGAACUUUUACUCUAAAGGAGUCAUCUCUUGGGUGAGCUGAAAGAAAAGAAGCUAAAGUUGAAACCAGGUGCUGGAGGAUUUUCUCCUCCUCUCAACCAGGGCAGGCAGUUCUGUGGCCACCGCAGGCCAGACCGCUGCAUGGCUGCUUGCUUCCUGAGGACAGCAGGAUUGAUUUCACUGCUGGAGCUGCUGGUGCCCGGGAAGGUAACUGGAGGUGG
rnacentral:lncRNA from 1 species